rnacentral:rRNA from 1 species
UACGUAGGUGGCAAGCGUUGUCCGGAAUUAUUGGGCGUAAAGCGCGCGCAGGCGGUCCUUUAAGUCUGAUGUGAAAGCCCACGGCUCAACCGUGGAGGGUCAUUGGAAACUGGAGGACUUGAGUACAGAAGAGGAAAGCGGAAUUCCACGUGUAGCGGUGAAAUGCGUAGAGAUGUGGAGGAACACCAGUGGCGAAGGCAGCCCCCUGGGCCGAUACUGACGCUCAGGCACGAAAGCGUGGGGAGCAAACAGG